ensembl:miRNA
UUCCAUGCUGUGACCCUUUAAAGGGAAGCGCUUUUUGUUGUCUGAAAGGAACCAAAGGCCUUCCCUUUAGAGUGUUACCGUUUGAGAA